UGGGGAAUAUUGCACAAUGGGCGCAAGCCUGAUGCAGCCAUGCCGCGUGUGUGAAGAAGGCCUUCGGGUUGUAAAGCACUUUCAGCGGGGAGGAAGGCGGUGAGGUUAAUAACCUCAUCGACUGACGUUACCCGCAGAAGAAACACCGGCUAACUCCGUGCCAGCAGCCGCGGUAAUACGGAGGGUGCAAGCGUUAAUCGGAAUUACUGGGCGUAAAGCGCACGCAGGCGGUCUGUCAAGUCGGAUGUGAAAUCCCCGGGCUCAACCUGGGAACUGCAUUCGAAACUGGCAGGCUAGAGUCUUGUAGAGGGGGGUAGAAUUCCAGGUGUAGCGGUGAAAUGCGUAGAGAUCUGGAGGAAUACCGGUGGCGAAGGCGGCCCCCUGGACAAAGACUGACGCUCAGGUGCGAAAGCGUGGGGAGCAAACAGG
rnacentral:rRNA from 1 species